CCUCUACACAAUAGGCUUUAACUAUUUCGAUUUACUUUUUAGAUUGGUUUGGAUUCUACCAACUCUUCAGAGAUCAUGAAAGGAAUGAUUUUCUUGAUCUCUAUCCCCUCCUUACAUUUCUGUGUUUGGGCCUGUUUCCCUUCUGCUGUCAUCCUCCAUUUCCUUGUAUACAUGUUCCUGAAGCUUGUGUACUUCACAACUGUCAGUUAUUGAGGUUUCUUCCCUCCUGCCACCACCCUGGACUUCCUUGUCUGUUUAACUGUUUUUUUUUCUCAGAAUAAUAUAAUUUUGUGAAGGUAGGGUCUUCGCAGCAUAUCUUUUCUUUCCUGUGCUUUGCAUAUAGUGGAAGUUGAAUACUGAGAUUUGCUGGUUCAAUUGGCUAGGAUUCCAGGAAGUCUUCUGAGACCAUUUUUGUUUUUUUGGGUUUUUUUCCUGAUCUCUAUCCCUUGCUUACAUUUCACUGUUUGGGCUGGUUCAUUCUUGCUGGAACACAGGAUUUCCUUGUCUGUUUAAGAGUUUUUUUUUUUUUUUUGUCAGCAUAACAUACUUUUAUGAAGGUAGUGUACUCGCAUCUUGUCUUUUCUUUCCUCUGCCUUGUAUAGAAUAGGUGUUGAGUACUGAGAACUGCUCGUUCAAUUGGUUUUUAUUCCACCAGCUCCCCGGAGACCAUUUUUGGAUUGCUUUUCCUGAUUUUAAUCCACUCCUUACAGUUCACUGUUUAGGCUGGGUCCUUCUUGCUGUGAUACAGAAUUUCCUUGUCUGUUUAAACAGUUUUAUUGUCAGCAUAAUGUACGUUUGUGUAGGUAGGGUCUUCUCAUCGUGAUUUUUCUUUGCUGUGUCUUGUAUAUAGUUGAUUUGAAAUAAUGAGAUUUACUCAUUCAAUUGUUUUUUAUUCCACCAGCUCUCCUGAGACCAUUUUCGGAUUGCUUUUCGUGAUCUCUAUCUCUGCUUUAAAUCUCACUGGUUGGGGCUGGAUCCCUUCUGCUCUGAAACUGGAUUCCCUUGUCUGUUAAUUAUUUUCUUGUCAGCAUUACUUAAGUAUCUUGAGGUAGGUCCCUCUCGUCUUGUUUUUUGUUUUUGUAUUUUUCUGGGCCUUGUACACAAGACACUUUGAAUACUUCCAUUUUCUUGUUAAAUUGCUUUGGAUUCUACCAACUGUUGUGAGAACAUUUACCAAUUCUUUUUCCUGAUCUGUAUCCCCUCCUAAGAUUUCACUGUUUGGGGCUGGUUCCCUGCUGCUGUGACCCGGAAUUUCCUUGUCAGUUGAACUUUUUGGUUGUCAGCACAAUUUAAUUUUGUGAAGGUAGAUUCUUCUCAUCAUGGUUUUUCUUUCCUGUGUCUUGUACAGAGCAGACUUUAAAGACUGAGAUUUGCUCGAUCACUUCGUUUGGAUUCCACCAACUCUCCUGAGAUCAUUUUCUGAUUACUUUUCAUUACCUUUCCCUCUUUGGGGCUGUUUCCCUUCUGCUGUCAUCCUCCAUUUCCUUGUAUACAUUUUCCCAAAGCUUGUGCACUCCACACCUAUCAGUAAUUGAGGUUUUUUCCCUCCUACCACCACCCUGGACUUCCUUGUCUGUUUAACUUUUUUUUUUCUCAGAAUAACAUAAUUUUGUGAAGGUAGGGUCUUCGCAGCGUGUCUUUUCUUUCCUGUGCUUUGCAUAUAGUGGAAGUUGAAUACUGAGAUUUGCUGGUUCAAUUGGCUUCCAUUCCAGCAAGUCUUCUGAGACCAUUUUUUUUUCCGGAUCUUUAUCGCUUGCUUAUAUUUCACUGUUUGGGAUGGUUCUUUCUUGCUGGAACACAGGAUUUCCUUGUCUGUUUAACAUUUUUUUUUGUCAGCAUAAUAUAAUUUUAUGAAGGUAAUGUAUUCACAUCAUGUCUUUUCUUUUCUCUGCCUCGUAUCGAGUAGCCUUUGAAUACUGAGAUUUGCUCGUUCAAUUGGUUUUUAUUCCACCAGCUUCCCUGAGACCAUUUUUGGAUUGCUUUUCCUGAUCUCUAUGCGCUCCUUACAUUUCACUGGUUGGGGCUGGUUCCCUGCUGCUGUGCCACUGGAUUUCCUUGUCUGUUUAACUGUUUUAUUGUCAGCAUUACUUAAGUUUGUGAAGGUAGGCUCUUCUCAUCGUGACUCUUCUUUGAUGUGUCUUGUAUACAGUCGACUUUGAACAAUGAGAUUUGCUCGUUCAAUUGGAUGGGAUUCCUCGAGCUCUCAAGAGAUCAUUUUCGGAUUCCUUUAAAAGAUCUCUAUCUCCUCCUUGCUUUUCACUGGUUGGGGCUGUUUCCCUCCUGCUGAGAUGCUGGGUUUUCUUUUCUGUUGAACUGUUUAAUUGGAAGCAUAACUGAAGUUUCUUUAGGUAUGGCCCUCUUGUCCUGUUUAUUUUUUUUUCUAUGGCCUGUACACAAUAGGCUUUAACUAUGUCGAUUUACUUUUUAGAUUGGUUUGGAUUCGACCAACUCUUCAGAGAUCAUGAAAGGAAUGAUUUUCUUGAUCUCUAUCCCCUCCUUACAUUUCUGUGUUUGGGGCUGUUUCCCUUCUGCUGUCAUCCUCCAUUUCCUUGUAUACAUGUUCCUGAAGCUUGUGUACUUCACAACUGUCAGUUAUUGAGGUUUCUUCCCUCCUGCCACCACACUGGACGACUUCCUUGUCUGUUUACCAGGAGUUUUUGGUCAACAUCACUUAAGUUUGUGAAGGUAGGGCCUUCACAUCAUGUCUUUUCUUUCCUCUGCCUUGUAUAGAGUAGAUGUUGAGUACUGAGAUGGGCUCGUUCAAUUGGUUUUUAUUCCACCAGCUCCCCGAUAGCAUUUUCGGAUUGCUUUUCCUGAUUUUAUCCGCUCCUUACAUUUCCCUGUUUAGGCUGGGUCCUUCUUUCUGUGAUACAGAAUUUCCUUGUCAGUUUAACAGUUUUAUUGUCAGCAUAAUGUACGUUUGUGUAGGUAGGGUCUUCUCAUAGUGACUUUUCUUUGCUGUGUCUUGUAUACAGUUGAUUUUGAAUAAUGAGAUUUGCUCGUUUGUUUUUUAUUCCACCAGCUCUCCUGUGACCAUUUUCAGAUUGCUUUUCCUGAUCUCUGUCCCUGCUUUACAUUUCACCGGUUGGGGCUGGAUCCCUUCUGCUGUGACACUGGAUUCCCUUGUCUGUUAAUUAUUUUAUUGUCAGCAUUACUUAAUCAUCUUG